GGAGCUCUCCCAUAUGGUCGACCUGCAGGCGGCCGCGAAUUCACUAGUGAUUGUUUGAUCCUGGCUCAGAUUGAACGCUGGCGGCAGGCUUAACACAUGCAAGUCGAACGGUAACAGAGAAUAGCUUGCUAUUCUGCUGACGAGUGGCGGACGGGUGAGUAAUGCUUGGGAAUUUGCCGAAAGGUGGGGGACAACAGUUGGAAACGACUGCUAAUACCGCAUAAUGUCUACGGACCAAAGGUGGCCUCUAUUUAUAUGCUAUCGCCUUUCGAUGAGCCCAAGUGGGAUUAGCUAGUUGGUAAGGUAAUGGCUUACCAAGGCGACGAUCCCUAGCUGGUCUUAGAGGAUGACCAGCCACACUGGAACUGAGACACGGUCCAGACUCCUACGGGAGGCAGCAGUGGGGAAUAUUGCACAAUGGGGGAAACCCUGAUGCAGCCAUGCCGCGUGUGUGAAGAAGGCUUUCGGGUUGUAAAGCACUUUCAGCGAGGAGGAAAGGGUGAUGGCUAAUAUCCAUUAUCUGUGACGUUACUCGCAGAAGAAGCACCGGCUAACUCCGUGCCAGCAGCCGCGGUAAUACGGAGGGUGCAAGCGUUAAUCGGAAUUACUGGGCGUAAAGCGCGCGUAGGUGGUUAAUUAAGUCAGAUGUGAAAGCCCAGGGCUCAACCUUGGAACUGCAUUUGAAACUGGUUGACUAGAGUUUUGUAGAGGGUGAUAGAAUUUCAGGUGUAGCGGUGAAAUGCGUAGAGAUCUGAAGGAAUACCAGUGGCGAAGGCGGCCACCUGGACAAAGGCUGACACUGAGGCGCGAAGGCGGUGGGGAGCAAACGGGAUUAGAUACCCCGGUAGUCCACGCAGUAAACGAUGUCUAUUAGAAGUUUGUGGCUAUAUGCCGUGGGUUUCAAAGCUAACGCAUUAAAUA
rnacentral:rRNA from 1 species